GAACAUCUUGCUUGAAUUAUGUAUUUGGAUUACUCGGUACUGCGUCAUAAUGUCUACCAUGUAUUUACGUAAAAACGUACCAGACUCGGUAAGCAAUGGUCAUGCAUGUUUAUUGGAAAACGGAAAAAGAAAACCCGCUUAGUCGAUAUUAGGCUUCGUUGGACCUGGUUUAUUUCGAGGCACAGUCAAGUAUAGAGGGGCGGAGAAGAAUGAGAAUGCAGGCAGCGUCUGCAUUCACCAAAUUGGAGCGGCCAGAAACGAAAAAGGAAAAGUGGCAAAGGGCCAGUCAGUGGACCGUCUUCCCUGGGCCGAAACGUUUCGGGUAUACUUGGUAGUCGUCUCCUGGGUACUCUUUACAAUCGUCAUUCCGAUCUCUCUCGCCUCCUCCCGUCUCUUCCUGUCUCUUCGUCCCGGUCUCGCUCGAGAGAGUCCCAAGUAACCGGCGAUAACGCGUACCCUGGGACCACCCAUGGCCACCCCGACCAAUACCGUCCAUCAUCGGCUGAACGAGGAAUAGGGAGUGCCGGAUUCUCGCCAACCCUUUGACAAAGGGUGCAGCUCGUGGAACCCGCGGAAAAUACCCUGGACUGGGCUGGACAGUUUUGCGCAACGAGUGGCCCCGCAAACAAAAGCAAAAUCAAGAAAAAUCACCACAACAAUUCGGAACGUACGGGGCCGUACGGAAAAGGUUCACCAAUAUGGAAGCGUACUACAGCUAAAAAAAAAUUGAUAACAUUCAAAGAUGUACGCAUUAGAAAAUUAUAAAUACCCGUGACAUUGUAUAACUACCGUAUUAGUGGGUUUUUUCUCGAAUUAGAUGUAAUGUUACUGCAAUUUAUCGUGGCAUUGAAAUAAGUAUGUAAAUCUACAUGGGUAUCUUUGUCCGUGUAUACUGAAUAUCUCGCUUGAUCAAA